GUGAGCACCUUGUCUAGUUCUGUAUGCUACUGAUGAACACCUUAUCUAGUUCUGUAUGCUACUGAUGAGCACCUUAUCUAGUUUUGUAUGCUACUGAUGAACACCUUGUCUAGUUCUGUAUGUUACUGGUGAGCACCUUAUCUAGUUUUGUAUGCUACUGGUGAGCUUCUGUAUAACAUUGGUGAGCUCCUUGUUUAGUUCUGUAUGUUACUGCAAAGCUACUAAGGCUUUCUGCCGCUGUCCCUAGUUUCGAACUACCGACCUGAUAGAAGGCUGCCAGUCAGGAUCCUACCACCCAUCAUCUAUGCUAAGGAAUUGGACUGUCACUCUUAUAAUGCACGCGCAACUUAAGGUGAAGAGAAUAUUUUGUGGCAUCGCACAGGUUCAAACCCGGCUCAGCCAGCUCCAAAAUCCAGAGCUGUAGCGCAGGGCUCCACUAAUGGAGCCAAAAGCUUGAAGCUCGAAAAAGAAUUACGUUGAAGAAAGUCUCAGAUUUUUAUUUUAGAGGCUUAUAACGCUAAAAAUGGGGUUUCGAUACCCGUGAAGGUCAGAAUACAGAUAGCCCAUUGUGUAGCUUUGAGUUUUACAAUAAACAACCAACAAACCAAA